rnacentral:rRNA from 1 species
GACGAACGCUGGCGGCGUGCUUAACACAUGCAAGUCGAACGGAAAGGCCCUGCUUGCAGGGUACUCGAGUGGCGAACGGGUGAGUAACACGUGGGUGAUCUGCCCUGCACUUCGGGAUAAGCUUGGGAAACUGGGUCUAAUACCGGAUAGGAACCAUCUUUAGUGUGGUGGUUGGAAAGUUUUUUCGGUGUAGGAUGAGCUCGCGGCCUAUCAGCUUGUUGGUGGGGUAAUGGCCUACCAAGGCGGCGACGGGUAGCCGGCCUGAGAGGGUGUACGGCCACAUUGGGACUGAGAUACGGCCCAGACUCCUACGGGGGGCAGCAGUGGGGAAUAUUGCACAAUGGGCGCGAGCGUGAUGCAGCGAGGCCGCGUGGGGGAUGAAGGCCUUCGGGUUGUAAACUCCUUUCGCUAGGGACGAAGCUUUGUUGUGACGGUACCUAGAUAAGAAGCACCGGCUAACUACGUG